rnacentral:rRNA from 1 species
GAUGAACGCUAGCGAUAGGCCUAACACAUGCAAGUCGAGGGGCAUCACAUGAGGUAGCAAUACUGAUGGUGGCGACCGGCGCACGGGUGAGUAACACGUAUGCAACCUACCUUCCACACGGGGAUAACCCGGAGAAAUCCGGACUAAUACCCGAUAAUACAGGGGUCCCGCAUGGGAAUAUUUGUUAAAGAUUUAUUGGUAGAAGAUGGGCAUGCGUUCCAUUAGUUAGUUGGUGAGGUAACGGCUCACCAAGGCGACGAUGGAUAGGGGAACUGAGAGGUUUAUCCCCCACACUGGAACUGAGACACGGUCCAGACUCCUACGGGAGGCAGCAGUGAGGAAUAUUGGUCAAUGGAGGCAACUCUGAACCAGCCAAGUCGCGUGAAGGAUGAAGGUCUUAUGGAUUGUAAACUUCUUUUAUACAGGAAUAAAUUGAGUCACGUGUGGCUUUUUGCAUGUACUGUAUGAAUAAGGAUCGGCUAACUCCGUGCCAGC